UACGAAGGGGGCUAGCGUUGCUCGGAAUUACUGGGCGUACAGGGCGCGUAGGCGGAUAGUUUAGUCAGAGGUGAAAGCCCAGGGCUCAACCUUGGAAUUGCCUUUGAUACUGGCUGUCUUGAGUACGGGAGAGGUGAGUGGAACUCCGAGUGUAGAGGUGAAAUUCGUAGAUAUUCGGAAGAACACCAGUGGCGAAGGCGACUCACUGGCCCGUUACUGACGCUGAGGCGCGAAAGCGUGGGGAGCAAACAGG
rnacentral:rRNA from 1 species